rnacentral:rRNA from 1 species
ACUCCUACGGGAGGCAGCAGUGGGGAAUAUUGCACAAUGGGGAAACCCUGAUGCAGCCAUGCCGCGUGUGUGAAGAAGGCCUUCGGUUGUAAAGCACUUUCAGUAGGGAGGAAGGUAGUGUAGUUAACACCUGCAUUAUUUGACGUUACCUACAGAAGAAGCACCGGCUAACUCCGUGCCAGCAGCCGCGGUAAUACGGAGGGUGCGAGCGUUAAUCGGAAUUACUGGGCGUAAAGCGCAUGCAGGCGGCCUGUUAAGUCAGAUGUGAAAGCCCGGGGGCUUAACCUCGGAAUUGCAUUUGAAACUGGCAGGCUAGAGUCUUGUAGAGGGGGUAGAAUUUCAGGUGUAGCGGUGAAAUGCGUAGAGAUCUGAAGGAAUACCAGUGGCGAAGGCGGCCCCCUGGACAAAGACUGACGCUCAGAUGCGAAAGCUGGGGAGCG